UGGGGAAUUUUGGACAAUGGGCGAAAGCCUGAUCCAGCAAUGCCGCGUGUGUGAAGAAGGCCUUCGGGUUGUAAAGCACUUUUGUCCGGAAAGAAAUCCUUGGCUCUAAUACAGUCGGGGGAUGACGGUACCGGAAGAAUAAGCACCGGCUAACUACGUGCCAGCAGCCGCGGUAAUACGUAGGGUGCAAGCGUUAAUCGGAAUUACUGGGCGUAAAGCGUGCGCAGGCGGUUUGCUAAGACCGAUGUGAAAUCCCCGGGCUCAACCUGGGAACUGCAUUGGGUGACUGGCAGGCUAGAGUAUGGCAGAGGGGGGUAGAAUUCCACGUGUAGCAGUGAAAUGCGUAGAGAUGCGGAGGAAUACCGAUGGCGAAGGCAGCCCCCUGGGCCAAUACUGACGCUCAUGCACGAAAGCGUGGGGAGCAAACAGGAUUAGAUACCCUGGUAGUCCACGCCCUAAACGAUGUCAACUAGUUGUUGGGGAUUCAUUUCCUUAGUAACGUAGCUAACGCGUGAAGUUGACCGCCUGGGGAGUACGGUCGCAAGAUU
rnacentral:rRNA from 1 species